rnacentral:lncRNA from 1 species
CCACAAUGGAUGACCACUUUCAACUAAUUCUGAAUUUGGAAAUAUAAAUAAUCAUUUACUGGCGGCAUUAUCAUAGCUACCACACAGAAAAUUAAAGGGAAUAAGUGACUCCAGUGCACACACAGAGUCAAGAAAUGAAAAGCAUCAUCUAUUUCUCCCAAAGUCGCAAGAUUCUAAGUAUCACCAGCUGUGCGGACCAAAUGUUCAAAUGUAGGAGCCCAUGGAAGACUCAUUUAAACCACAACAGCUGGCUCUGAAGAAGAAGAAAAAAAAAAACUAAACUAGAAGUGGACACAUGUUCAACAAAACAUCAGUUAAAAAGAUCAACCACCUAGUGCAAAAGUAACAGCAUCAUCGAAUCCAUGACCUACUGUUCUAUCAGGAGCAUAGAUGGCAUCAGGAAGGCAGACAUGGAGCUGGAACAGUACCUAUGAGUUCACAUCUUGAGAACAUGGCAGAGACAAAUAACUUUUGGAAAAAUUCAGUGUGUGAAUUUG